rnacentral:lncRNA from 1 species
AAUACUACUGCUCUAAUUUCCUUUAAUAGAAAUUUCUUUACCUCACCACCUCCUCUGAAGCAACUGCAUAACUUAGAUUUGUCAAUACCAAUCCACCAUGGUACCACUAUCGCUUCUCUUUCAAUCAUUUUGAUUUUUUUAAAAAUUGGCAUCUCCUCUUCUUCUUAAUUGACAUUCUUUUCCACUAAUUUGCAUCUAUUUCUAUGCCUACAACCAACAACUUCUUUUUGUUAUAACCCUCACCUUCUUUUAUUUAGAUUUUCACAUUCACUUUCAAAAACUAAAUCAAAAUUUGAUCUUCUAUAGAACUUUGGCACAAAUUGCUAUCC